GACGAACGCUGGCGGCGUGCUUAACACAUGCAAGUCGAACGGAAAGGCCCCCUUGUGGGGUACUCGAGUGGCGAACGGGUGAGUAACACGUGAGUAACCUACCCUUGACUUUGGGAUAACUUCAGGAAACUGGGGCUAAUACCGGAUAGGAGCUCCUGCUGCAUGGUGGGGGUUGGAAAGUUUCGGCGGUUGGGGAUGGACUCGCGGCUUAUCAGCUUGUUGGUGGGGUAGUGGCUCACCAAGGCUUUGACGGGUAGCCGGCCUGAGAGGGUGACCGGCCACAUUGGGACUGAGAUACGGCCUAGACUCCUACGGGAGGCAGCAGUGGGGAAUAUUGCACAAUGGGCGGAAGCCUGAUGCAGCAACGCCGCGUGCGGGAUGACGGCCUUCGGGUUGUAAACCGCUUUCGCCUGUGACGAAGCGUGAGUGACGGUAAUGGGUAAAGAAGCACCGGCUAACUACGUG
rnacentral:rRNA from 1 species